GAUGAACGCUGGCGGCGUGCCUAAUACAUGCAAGUCGAGCGAACACACCAGGAGCUUGCUCUUCUGACGUUAGCGGCGGACGGGUGAGUAACACGUGGAUAACCUACCUAUAAGACUGGGAUAACUUCGGGAAACCGGUGCUAAUACCGGAUAAUACAUCGAACCGCAUGGUUCAAUGGUGAAAGACGGCUUUGGCGUCUCUUAUAGAUGGAUCCGCGCCGCAUUAGCUAGUUGGUAAGGUAACGGCUUACCAAGGCAACGAUGCGUAGCCGACCUGAGAGGGUGAUCGGCCACACUGGAACUGAGACACGGUCCAGACUCCUACGGGAGGCAGCAGUAGGGAAUCUUCCGCAAUGGGCGCAAGCCUGACGGAGCAACGCCGCGUGAGUGAUGAAGGUCUUCGGAUCGUAAAACUCUGUUGUUAGGGAAGAACAAAUGCGUGAGUAACUAUGCACGUCUUGACGGUACCUAAUCAGAAAGCCACGGCUAACUACGUG
rnacentral:rRNA from 1 species